rnacentral:rRNA from 1 species
CCUACGGGUGGCAGCAGUGGGGGAUAUUGCACAAUGGGGGGAACCCUGAUGCAGCGACGCCGCGUGGGUGAAGGAGUGCUUCGGCAUGUAAAGCCCUAUCGGCAGGGAAGAAGCAAGACGGUACCUGAAUAAGAACCCCCGGCUAACUACGUGCCAGCAGCCGCGGGAAUACGUAGGGGGCGAGCGUUAUCCGGAUUCACUGGGUGUAAAGGGAGCGGAGACGGCCAUGCAAGGUAGGGGUGAAAGCCCGGGGCCCAACCCCGGGACUGCCUUUGGGACUGCAUGGCUGGAGUGCGGGAGGGGCGGGCGGAAUUCCAGGUGUAGCGGUGAAAUGCGGAGAUAUCAGGAGGAACACCGGCGGCGAAGGCGGCCUGCUGGUCUGCGACUGACGUUGAGGCUCGAAAGCGUGGGGAGCGAACAGGAUUAGAUACCCGUGUAGUC